AAGGUUACAUAAAAUGGAACAAUUGCUCUAUCAAAACUUCGAAAACAUCUCAGACUUCGCGGAACAACAGAACUACUUCUUCUUAAAUCGAAGCUUUAAGCGUUUAAUAACCAACGCCACUUACGCGUUUAACGAAAUAAAAAGCGGCGAGUUCUGGUACGAAAUCAUCUCCUCAUUCAGAAGGCAACAAAAUGAACAAGUCAGCACUUCUCCUAUUGCUUGUCGUCGGACUCCUCGUCCUCACUGAUACUGUACAUUGUCGCAGAUUUGACCAACAGCAAAAUGCGGAUACAUCUAUGAUGAGCAGAGAUGAAAUUAAAGAUUCAGCACGUUGGGACCACGCAGUGCAAAGAGUUGACGAAAUGUUGGAUGAACUAAUGCAUUAAAUUAAAACGACGACCGCGAAAUCAAGAAUAUGACCAUUUAUUUAAAGAGAAAGCUCUAUUAUUCAUUAACAAUAAACAUAAUGUGCAAUAUACGCAGAAUACUGGUUGUCAAUAAGAUAAACCAGCAUGCAUUUACAAUUA